GACAACUAUGCAAAUAGAACACUGGAAAGAAAUGUAAAUGCUGCUAACUUCACAAGGAAAGAAGAUGGAGAAAGAAAAAUAGAUGUGAUAACUUGGACAUUUCCUGGUGUUUAACCAUCGAGAACAAGAGUCCAAAGCUAAAAAAAAAAAAGCAUUUUCAAGCAGACCAUGGAUGUUCCAGCUUGGAAAGACUAUAGAAUACAAGAUGGAAAUAUUUAACAUGCUCACAUAGCAAGAUUCUGUUUUUCCCUGCAUACCAUGAGUAGAUGAGAUUGAAACUGAGAAGAGAGAAACCAAGGAGACUGCAAGGCACUCCUAAAUAAUAGUAGUCAUGCUGUUUAUUUUGUGAAAGCAUCCUUCAGCAACAGACUUAAGAAUUGUCCCUGUCCCUAACUGAACAGAGGGAAGAAAUGGAAAAAAAUGCAGAACCAGCUGCUACAGUUGCUGACUUUCUAAGGGAAGCCAAAAAAAAUGUCACAUCCCUGAAGCCUGCCCUGACUUUUGCCAUCAAGGUGCCACUGUGCUUUCUCUGAAACUUCCCGACAUUUGUCAUUCCAUUGAUAUAAAUAUACUAUCAGUCAAUUCAACAUUUAAGGUGAGUUCAUAACACUGACUUACAGAAGAGCAUUACAGUAUUUUCCAUAUCAUUCUCAAUCAUAUCCUCAUUUUUUUCCCUCAACAUUGUACAUUGAAAUACUCACAAUGAUGCAUAGAUCCUUUUCCUGAGAGGUUACAAUGCAGAAUGAAAUAAGAAUACUUUCUGGUAAUAUAUUACUUGUCACACAGUGAUUUCAAAGCACUUUGUUAACAAAGAAAGAUUAUUACCAUCAAUUUAAUGGGAACUGAAACACAUAAGUUAAAUUACUUUUUCAAAGUUGAACAGAAAGUAAGUUACUACAUUAUGAACAUAAUUCAUGUUCCUGUCAUUAUAGUCUUUAAUUCCAUCUAGUGGAACACACUUCCUUUCAGGCUGUCUUCUACAUAACAAUUUACUGCCCACUUAGCAGAACACAGGCUUAAAUUCAUGGAUAUCUGUUGUAUCAAGGCAGAAUCUGGGUUUACAUAAUCAUAUGACAUGACUUUGAGUGGAUGGAGCCAAGGGGAAUUGCUUCACUGCAUCUG
rnacentral:lncRNA from 1 species